GAGGGUGCACCUCAGUGGUAGAGCACUUGCCUUGCAUGCGUGAGGUCAUGGAUUCAAUCCCCAACACCAUCA
rnacentral:tRNA from 1 species